CGCAAAUGGAGAUUGGUCGGCAAAUGUGCUAUUGUGAGUUUGCCUGAGGUUGCUGGGGACACAUUUGGGGCACUGGCUAGUUUGACUGGCUUUUCUGUGCCUGGAGGACAAAGGGUCUUUUUUCCCCACGUCUUGGCUUCCAGGCACAGAGGCUCCUGUGAUGAAGACCCCCUGUCGUUCUGUGCGGGAGACCCCUCGUCUGAGACAGAGGAACAAUUACUCUUGUCUUCUCUGGAUUUCUUAUUAUUCUAAGUGGUUCCUGAGUGGCUGAUAUUAGCG